rnacentral:lncRNA from 1 species
UGAAACCAUCACAAAAGCUUAACCCACCCUUGAUCCCAGAAUUUUUAUGAAUGCUUACUGAAGAAAAUUCUCAGGAUGAUUCAGAGGCCUCUCAUAACUUCUGCUCCAAGAUGUCGAUAAAGAACCUUAGUAACUUGACUGUCAAUUCUGGUACCAAAUUCCCAACUUGUCUUCAUCUGUUAGAAGGUUUACCUCAACAACACGGUAGAAUAGAAAUGAUUUUCCAGGGUAUCAGAGAUGGCUGGCCUUACAGGGGGAAAGGAGUAAGAACACAGUUAUCUGUGCAGAAAGAAAGGGUGGUAACAUUGAGAUACCUGUUAGUAAACAGAUUUUCUCAGCUUCAAAGAGAGCUAACAGACACGGGGCUUAAAAGAGUUCAGAUUGAAUUGAGAAGGGAACCAUUCAGAUCUGGCUGCACUUUCUGCAUGCACUAGGAGGGAUCCUUCUGAGAAUGCUAGAAUAGGGAAUUAUGACACUGAGCAGAUUCAGC